GUGCUCACUUCAGCAGUAUACAUACUAAGAUUGGAGCGGUACAGAGAAGAUUAGCAUGCCCCAGCACAAGGAUGACCUGCAAAUUCAGGAAGUAUCUCAUAUUUUC
ensembl:snRNA U6 U6 spliceosomal RNA